CACUAAGAAGCUAAAAUGGAGGUAGCGUUAGCCUUUUAAGCUAAAGAUUGGUGGCCCCUAACCACCCCUAGUGA
rnacentral:tRNA from 1 species